rnacentral:rRNA from 1 species
UACCAGCACCCCGAGCGGUCGGGACGAUUAUUGGGCCUAAAGCAUCCGUAGCCGGUUCUACAAGUCUUCCGUUAAAUCCAACUGCUUAACAGGUGGGCUGCGGAAGAUACUAUAGAGCUAGGAGGCGGGAGAGGCAAGCGGUACUCGAUGGGUAGGGGUAAAAUCCGUUGAUCCAUUGAAGACCACCAAUGGCGAAGGCGGCUUGCCAGAACGCGCUCGACGGUGAGGGAUGAAAGCGGGGGGAGCAAACCGG